GAUGAACGCUAGCGGCAGGCUUAACACAUGCAAGUCGAGGGGUAUAUAGUUUUCGGAUUAUAGAGACCGGCAAACGGGUGCGGAACACGUACGCAAUCUGCCUCUGUCUUGGGGAUAGCCCAUAGAAAUGUGGAUUAAUACCCAAUAGUAUUAUAGAGUGGCAUCACUUAGUAAUUAAAAGAUUUAUUGGACAGAGAUGAGCGUGCGUCCCAUUAGCUAGUUGGUGCGGUAACGGCGUACCAAGGCGACGAUGGGUAGCUGGUGUGAGAGCACGACCAGCCACACGGGCACUGAGACACGGGCCCGACUCCUACGGGAGGCAGCAGUGAGGAAUAUUGGUCAAUGGGCGGAAGCCUGAACCAGCCAUGCCGCGUGAAGGAUGAAGGCGUUCUGCGUUGUAAACUUCUUUAUUGGGUAAGAAAAUUGUGGUUUCUACUGCAACCGACGGUACCAGAUGAAUAAGCACCGGCUAACUCCGUGCCAGCAGCCGCGGU
rnacentral:rRNA from 1 species